rnacentral:tRNA from 1 species
GCACCCUUAGCUCAGUUGGAUAGAGUGUCUGACUACGAAUCAGAAGGUCGCGAGUUCGAAUCUUGCAGGGUGCACCA